GUGAGGAAUUUUCCGCAAUGGGCGAAAGCCUGACGGAGCAAUGCCGCGUGAAGGAUGAAGGCCUAUGGGUUGUAAACUUCUUUUCUCAGAAAAGAAUUAUGACGGUAUCUGAGGAAUAAGCAUCGGCUAACUCUGUGCCAGCAGCCGCGGUAAGACAGAGGAUGCAAGCGUUAUCCGGAAUGAUUGGGCGUAAAGCGUCUGUAGGUUGUUUAAAAAGUAUUCUGUCAAAGAUUAGGGCUUAACCCUAGAUAGGCAGAAUAAACUUUUAAGCUAGAGUUUGGUAGAGGCAGAGGGAAUUCCCGGUGGAGUGGUGAAAUGCGUAGAUAUCGGGAGGAACACCAAAGGCGAAGGCACUCUGCUGGGCCAAUACUAACACUGAGAGACGAAAGCGAGGGGAGCAAAUGGGAUUAGAUACCCCAGUAGUCC
rnacentral:rRNA from 1 species